AUCGCUAGCCGGAUAUCCACUGAGUCAUUAUCCGAGGAGUUUCGACUUCGUUGUGGCGCCGAUCGAAAGCUAGAAGUACACUGGAGCAACAAUGGUGAAGAUUUUUAUUGGGAACCUGUCUGAGCACACUGAGAAGGACGACGUUGAAGCUCUGUUUACUAAAUAUGGCAAAGUGACAGAAUGUGCCAAGUUCAAAAAUUAUGCCUUUGUCCAUAUGGAGGACCGCAAGAUGGCCAACAAAGCCAUCCGUGAACUCCACCUCCAUAAGCUGAACGGUAGGCCCAUCAAUGUGGAGCCCAGCAGAGGGAAGAACCAGGGCCCAGUGAAGCUCCACAUAGCCAAUGUAGAACAGGGCUUUGAUGAUGAGCUUCGUGCCCUCUUUGAAGAAUAUGGUACAGUCAGAGAGUGCGCCAUUGUCAAGAACUUUGCCUUUGUCCACAUGGACAAUGCUGAUGAAGCCAUGGAUGCCAUAAAAGGCCUGGACAACUCAGACUUUCAAGGAAAGCGCAUACAUGUUCAGAUAUCAAAAAGCAGACCCAGAGGGGCACCCGAGGAGGAGGACUAUCCACCUCCGCCAGGCAGAGGCUAUUAUCCCCCUCGCUACCCAGGGGAGAGGCCCGAGCCUCCCUACAGAGGCCGCAUGUCUGCUUACGGUCCUCCUCCUCCUCCACCUCCCCCUCCACCUCCCCCAAGACGAGCAGCUUAUCCUGACCGUGGCUAUGGCGAGCGAGACCCCUAUCGGAUGGUCGAUUACUAUGAGAAAUACAGAGCCCGUCCUUACAGCAUGCCACCCUACGAUGACAGACGUUCUGGCGCCAUCCCCCCUCCUCCGCCUCCUCCCCCGGCACUGGUUAGAGAACGUCUCACAAUGGGGGGCCCUGACCCAUACGAGCGGCGUGUGCUUCCACCUCCUCCUCCGUCCUACAUGGCCAGGGAUAGAAGCCCCAUCAGACGAGCCCCCCCUCCGCCUGCUCCACCAGCUGGUAACGGGUAUUCCUACGAGCGCUCCCGGCUCUCCCCGGUGUCCAGGGCUCCAAUGUAUGCACCUCCCCACCCCAGGGACUCCUUCUCCGAGAGACCACCACCACGAUAUGCAGGCUAUUAGAGUGUAAUUCAAGGUUGUUAGACUCUAUGCAGGACAUGCCAACUCAUGGUAAGUCAUCUUCGGAAGAUGUGCAGCAAUGCAGCAUCCAGUAGAGAAGAGGUAGGUGUUGUUCAAACUUCUCUGCAAAACACCUCUUACUAAUGCUACAAAUAGUCUCCUGCCUCCCUCUUGUGUUUUUGUAUUUAUACUGCAGUGCUCCUUCAUUCUAGAUAAAGUCACAACUCUAAAAUUGUAUUUUCUGGAUGCCUCAGCGUUUUUUGUUUUUUAUUGUGUUGUGAUCAGUGAUGAGUGUGAUCACUGAUGCUGUCUCUUUGUCUGCAGGCCUGUCUCUGCUCUGGCAGCUGUAGUGGGUCUUGGAGUGAAUUCACAGGAGUUUGUUGUCUCUAAACAUUCCAAGCUGGGAAAAGAUGGGAUCAUCAGACAGUCCUGAAGAUAACGGAAGUGGAUUGGGUUCCUUAGUGAGAGUUUGGUCCAUUGGCUGGUGAGCUGGUGCGGAUGUCCAGUCCUCGGAAAACCUCCGUUGUUGAAUCUGUGUUCUCUGCAGUUGAUGGCCAAAACUGUAUAGUGUUACAAUCACUGGAUAUUGGCCUGAAAAAUUGACUUGAAACCUUAUCAUGACCUUUUACACACAACUGUGACCCUUGUUUUUCUGUUAUCUUUAAAUUCAUGCCUUUGAACUUUUUAUGAACCUCAUACUUAAGUAUAUAAGCACUUGAAUACAAAUGUUUGUAGCAAAUGUGUUUAUAAAUCAUCCUUGAUUUUUAAUAUUAAUGAUGAUAUAGACUAUUAACAUUGUGUUUUCAGUAUGAAAAGUUAAAACGGUAAAUAAACACAUUUUUCUCAAAGUGAGAACUAAUGUCGUAGUCG